GAUGAAGAACGUAGUGAAAUGCGAUAAGUAAUGUGAAUUGCAGAAUUCAGUGAAUCAUCGAAUCUUUGAACGCACAUUGCGCCCCUUGGUAUUCCGAGGGGCAUGCCUGUUCGAGCGUCAUUAUAACCCUCAAGCUCAGCUUGGUGUUGGGGCCUGCUGCAGUGGCAGCCCUUAAAAUCAGUGGCGGCGCCAUCUGGCUCUAAGCGUAGUAAUUCUUCUCGCUAUGGAGUCCUGGUGGAUGCUUGCCAUCAACCCCCAAUUUUUCUAUGGUUGACCUCGGAUCAGGUAGGGAUACCCGCUGAACUUAAGCAUAUCAAUAAGCGGAGGA
rnacentral:misc_RNA from 1 species